AGAAUCAAUCACUCUGAGAUCCCUCCCAAAAACAGUCAAAUCAAAAUGGACAUUUAUAGGUGGUCUAAAUUUUCAGGGUCCACAACUUGACCACGAGUAAAGCCAAAUUGCGA